rnacentral:rRNA from 1 species
GAUGAACGCUGGCGGCGUGCCUAAUACAUGCAAGUCGAGCGAACAGAUGAGGAGCUUGCUCCUCUGACGUUAGCGGCGGACGGGUGAGUAACACGUGGAUAACCUACCUAUAAGACUGGGAUAACUACGGGAAACCGGAGCUAAUACCGGAUAAUAUAUUGAACCGCAUGGUUCAAUAGUGAAAGACGGUUUUGCUGUCACUUAUAGAUGGAUCCGCGCCGCAUUAGCUAGUUGGUAAGGUAACGGCUUACCAAGGCAACGAUGCGUAGCCGACCUGAGAGGGUGAUCGGCCACACUGGAACUGAGACACGGUCCAGACUCCUACGGGAGGCAGCAGUAGGGAAUCUUCCGCAAUGGGCGAAAGCCUGACGGAGCAACGCCGCGUGAGUGAUGAAGGUCUUCGGAUCGUAAAACUCUGUUAUUAGGGAAGAACAAAUGUGUAAGUAACUAUGCACGUCUUGACGGUACCUAAUCAGAAAGCCACGGCUAACUACGUG